UAUGAAAACACACUCCACCAAUGAAUUCUCACUGAACAUCUCGCUGGUGACACCUCGGUAAAGGGUACUCCUGAUACUAAGGAACCUUUUUUUUACUUCAGGAACAUGUCCGAGUCAAAGUCUGAUUCUGUGUGCAUGCGUGGAGACGAGCCUUACAAGCGGCCCUACGGGUGGAUGCGCUUUGCCCUGAAGGUUCUGGAUAAAUAUCCAGACAGGGAACAGAUGGAUGGAGGAGCCGCUCCGUGUCAGAGGAAGACACGAUGGGAUGCGCUUCUAGCACUCAGACCACAGCUCAAGACACAACACGACCGAACACCAAACAAGAUGGGAGCACAUCAGGAACAAAUAAUGAAAACGGUGGUCCUGCAGCAGACAGCAAGACAGUUCCAGACCAAACCCAGGCCGCGGAAUCUCCACAGACAUCCAGUGGAGCUCCUGUUGCCUCUGAGGAAAUACAGAGCUCUGCGGCUGCUGUAGCUCACAGUGAACCAGAAGCAGCUGCUGCUGAGGCCAUUACAUCUGACCAGCCUGCUGAACCAGAAUCAAACCCCUCCACAACAGCUGACAGUACCGAAGAACCAGCACCAAGCGAAAACACAACUGAGGCCCAGGCUGAAUCUUCCCCACCAGAGGAAGCACCUGCCUCUGGUGAAGACAGUUAA
rnacentral:lncRNA from 1 species